UCCUCUCUUGAGGUAUUUGUUCUUCAGCUUGAGAAUUAUUGUUCAGCUCCUGCACAUAGUUCUCUAUUUGCUCCAUUGACAGUCAGCUUAUACAUUAGCAUAUGAAUUAGAUGAACAUGGAGCAAAGGAGUAUGCAUGGUUGUACCUUGCCCAGAAUCAUAUAUUUUCUUAGCCAUGAGUAUGUCAUCGUGAUCCUCGGUACCGGCUCUAAGAUGUACUACAAUAUGGUUACAUCUACUCCAUUCACCAUGGUGAUAAUCAAUUUAUUUUUUUCCCUUUCUAUUGUUUGAUUGUAUUGCCUUUAAGUCAUAUAUUAGAGAUUUUAGUAGAGUCAGGUCUCUACCAGCGAAGGUCAUGGCUAAGGAAACGGGACUGGCGGAUUUCCCCCUCGUCUUGGACAAGACGUCAUGACACAGUUGUGAUGAGGUGUGGCGCAAGCGUGGCUGUAGGAUCCCUCCUAUGAAGCUAGGCAAUGACAUCAUCGGAUCCUCACUGGUACGCAGAGCUAUCGUGUGGAUCCGACAGGUGGCAGGGGCGUGUGACUAAUUAGGUACAUGGCCUUGGUUCCACAUAUAAUGUUACCAAGUUCUUAAUCUGUCAUAUUGCUUCUACCGUUCAGAUAUCUGAUGCCAUUACAGAUGGUGCUGAAGGAUCUUGUAGUAUGCAGGUAUGGAGCAAUUUCUAAAAUGGCUUGCAUGAUGUCACUUGUCAUCCUUGGCAUCUAUCUCUUUCGCACUACUACCCGCAGCUGGAGGCAUCAGGCCUAGGAAGGUGAUUCCGUACUAUUUUUCUGAAACCUCGUCUGUACUCGUGAUUUCUUGUCUCAUUAAUCUCACGGCUACACAGGACAACUUCUGAAUAUAUUACAGUUCAUGCCUUUCUUCUUGGAGCUUUUGUGUACUAGACUAGCAUGAUUUGUUGGGAUGUGGAUUGCGGUAUGUGCAAGUUUUAGUUUCAAGUGCUGCUUGGGGGUCCGCAACGAAAGCGUUGCAGGUUUUAUUUGUCAUCUAUGGUGUUUGUCUUUCAUGCGUUUCCCCCUUCUACGAUUUGAAAUAGUGAAUAAUUUAAUUACCAAAACAGUUUGGUGUUUGUGCAGCUGAUUUCUCAGCCAUGGCAUGGUUGUAUUUAGUGUGGCACUACUUUAUGCAACAUUUCAUGAUCUGUUCUUAGUUCCAGCAAGUUUUUUCACCUUUCUGUAGAGUUUUGAGUAUAACUUAAAGUUCUAGAUGCAUAUAAGCUUCUGAGCUAACUCAAGCUCACUUGAUGGUUCUAACAAAAUUCUGCAAAAAUAUGACCAUGACAACAAGAUAAAUGGAGGUUCAGAGGCAGAGUGGAUGCCUGCACCAACAACUUUAUAAAUUAAACUACGUUUUGCUAGAUGACUCAAAUUUUUGAAUGCGAGCAUUAUGUUUUGGGAAUGCAGUUAACAAUAGAAUCAAGUAAAGCUGAAAGCAAGAGAUCUACUGCUCAAUAUGGAAUUUAAUUCCUUUCUUGCAAAAGCACUAGAUAUGAGUGAAGAGAUUAGUCAAUAUUGGAUUUAAUUCAUUUCUUGUACCCAUGGUCGAUCUAUUGUUCCAUACUGCAAGCAUUCACCCGAUCAUGUUUCUAUUCAUUUCUGUUAGAUCCGUCGAUGAAGAAAACAACACAUUUCAAGAUGUGAUGGUUUUGGUACUUCAAGUUUUGCUGUACUCUGUCAUUUGCCUUUGUGGGAACGACACUGCUCUAUUGCUUGCUUAUUUAAGAUCAUGACAAUCAUUUUAUCUAGCCUAUGUGUUUCUAAUUUUCUCCCCUUAUUGUUGCAGGUUAGAGUGCAGCUUUCAGAUAACUUCUUUCUUUGGGAUAGUUGGAAUACUAUGACUAGAUAUAGAAGAGGCUCAAAUGGUAAUGUUAUCAGUGUUUGCCCCUUCCAUGAUUUAUGUGUAGCGUGUAGACUAUCAGCGACAAUUUGAGCCUCUUUGUGAAGUAGUUUUGUAGGGUAUUGCUUCAAGUCAAGAAAAUGAAUGGCCACAAGUGGGGCGUUGACUGACAAUCCAAAGAUAGUUUAACCGAAGAGCUUCUGAUCUCUACAUGUGAAUGUUAAACUGCCAAUUUUGUACUUUACUAUUCUAUAUCAAGAAAAUAAAUAAUUGCAUCAUGGUAUUAGUGGCUUAAUUAUUUUUAUGCGCAUUGAACUAUAUAUUUUGAAGCACUUAAUAGUAUCUUGCACGGAGGAUCUAGGACUCCUGCCAAUUUAUUGUUCUUUGCUAAAAAAACUUUGCUCAAUUGCGCUUUGCCUCUCAGUGUUAUCAUUAGUUAAUGGCCUAAACUGUUGACAACUUAUCAAAAAAGAAUAAUCAUAUGCAGAUGCAGAAGCAUAUUAGUCAUACAGAAAUAAUCAUAUGCUGAAGGAAGGACUUGGAACUGUAACUAAAAACAAAAUGGAAAGUGGAGGGGCUCUGAUAUUGCAAUAAAAAGAAAUGAUAGAUAUUUCAUUGGGAAGCGAACUCAGGAAGACAAAAUAAUAUAAUCCUUACAUUUUCAGAUUACUCUUAUUUUCUUAUGCAUGUUCCUAUACGGAUUGGUCCUGAAUGUUUGACUUCUCAUAGAAAUGAAGCUGCAUACCCCCAACCUCAACUGUUGUGUCACCAUCGAGGGCUUCUAGCUGCUUGUUGUUCUUCAGUUACUAUUACUCUUAAGAUUCAUGUCUUAGAUAUUCUUAGGAGAGAAAUUGUAUGGAAUUUAAUGAUCAUUCAUCUCAACAAAUAUACGUGAUAUUUCCUUGUAAAAGGUUGCCUUCCAAAUUUAUGGCCUACUAUUAAAGGGGAGUUCGUUUCCACUUCCACCGUCUCGUUCGAUCCUAACCUCCUUUGGUUUUUUUCCCUUGCAGCGAUUCCUCACUCCCACCGGUUUGUUUAGGAACGGAUGCAUCUCCUCCCAUGUCCAGUUUUAGUGUUGGUUUUUGGCUCUAAUAAUCUCGUUCGACCCACCGCUACAAAUAGAUGCCACACCGCUCCUUUUGUUACGAUGGACUCAUGUGAGGCCUCGACAGAUCCACUUCCUUACAGCAGAACGAAAACAAUCAACCAUCAAUCAGAAAAUCUCCCUGAUAUUUCUUUCCUUCAGAUGCAUACAUAGCAGCCCAGGCCCAGUAGACCCGCGUUUCCUUUCCUUUCCUUUUUUUGUUACACCUUUUCUUCUCUUCUUGUUAUAUCAUUUCGAAAAGAUUGAUCUACACGAUCGUCGUCUAUUCGAGACUCAUCUAGACAUGAAAAAUAUGUGCAGACUCUAGGAUACAAAUAUGUGUAGGCUCUAGCAUGUCAGGUCGGCUCUAGGAUACAAAUAUGUGUAGACUGUUACCCCUCAAGUUCAGAAAAACCAAGGGUAUCAUAUGAAUUGGAUUAUGUAGAAGACAUAGAGAUAAAAAGGUACAUUGUUGCAUUCAUAUAGACACUGAUUAGGAGGGCCUAUUAGUUGCUAUUGAUGUUACAUUUAAACCUUUGCGAUUGCUAGACACUAGAAAUAAUUGAAAAUAUUCUCUUCUUUGCUUUCCAAUUGGUAGUAUUCAAGGUAACAAGAAAUCCAAUAUUGUUGUUUCUUGUGAAGUGUAGUUCACUUUAUUCCCUUCCUGUUAGAGCUGCUACUUGAGAUCCAGAGCCUAAACAACUUGUGAUCAUAGACUGCUCAGAGUUAUCAUAUUUGAUCUUCAAGUGCAAUCCUUCAGUUGUUCUAUUGCAUCUCCGAGCCAUAUUAGCAUACAUUUCCAAUCAACAAUUGACUACUGGGUCAGUUAUUAC
rnacentral:lncRNA from 1 species